UAGGGAAUCUUCGGCAAUGGACGAAAGUCUGACCGAGCAACGCCGCGUGAGUGAAGAAGGUUUUCGGAUCGUAAAACUCUGUUGUUAGAGAAGAACAAGGACGUUAGUAACUGAACGUCCCCUGACGGUAUCUAACCAGAAAGCCACGGCUAACUACGUGCCAGCAGCCGCGGUAAUACGUAGGUGGCAAGCGUUGUCCGGAUUUAUUGGGCGUAAAGCGAGCGCAGGCGGUUUCUUAAGUCUGAUGUGAAAGCCCCCGGCUCAACCGGGGAUGGUCAUUGGAAACUGGGAGACUUGAGUGCAGAAGAGGAGAGUGGAAUUCCAUGUGUAGCGGUGAAAUGCGUAGAUAUAUGGAGGAACACCAGUGGCGAAGGCGGCUCUCUGGUCUGUAACUGACGCUGAGGCUAGAAAGCGUGGGGAGCAAGCAGG
rnacentral:rRNA from 1 species